UCCAGUGAGAACAGCCUGCCUCCUCCUGCUAACCCUCCUGUUUAAAGGCUAAAGAUAUGGAGGUAGGAGCUGUAAGUCCAAGAUAGGGGACCAUGAAGCAGCAUUUUAUAUGCUGAGGAUUUCACCAGAGGAGGACCAGGAUGUUGCUAUCUGAUGUCAGCUUUCAAGUGCUUUAGAGUCAGAGAGUAGAAUCAACAAGCAGGGGAAAGAUCUAUGAAGCUAUCUGGCCACUGCCCUGACCCAUCAUGAUUUUCCUGAGGAAAUGAAUGUCAAUGGUGGUCCUGAAGAGGAGAGCAAAAUAUCACAGCCUCACACUAAGGACUGGCAGAGUGAAACUGUGGACCAGAAGACAGCUUUUUGGAAGUGGGACUUAGAAGCCAGACCUCCAGACCU